rnacentral:rRNA from 1 species
AUUGAACGCUGGCGGCAGGCCUAACACAUGCAAGUCGAACGAGUGGCGGACGGGUGAGUAAUGUCUGGGACACUGCCUUAUGGAGGGGGAUCACUACUGGAAACGGUAGCUAAUCGCGCAUACCAUGGGAUGUGCCCAGAUGGGAUUCGCUAGUAGGUGGGGUAACGGCUCACCUAGGCGACGAUCCCUAGCUGGUCUGAGAGGAUGAACAGCCACACUGGGAUUGAGACACGGCCCAGACUCCUACGGGAGGCAGCAGUGGGGAAUAUUGCACAAUGGGCGCAAGCCUGAUGCAGCCAUGCCGCGUGUAUGAAGAAGGCCUUCGGGUUGUAAAGUACUUUCAGCCGGGAGGCGUUACCCACAGAAGAAGCACCGGCUAACUCCGUGCCAGCAGCCGCGGUAAUUC